AAAAAAUAUAUAUAUAAUUUUUUUUCAACAACCCAAUUAGGGCCUGCGCACAAUAGAGGAAUAACGUCAAAUAUUACAUUUUGGAAAGAGCUGAUACGAUGCAACGACCUGUAAAAUGUCUCGGAUGAUCCCAAUUGCCUACAAAUCGAUUGCCUACAGCGUCGAUAGCCAACAUCCCAAUUGCCUACAAGAUGAACUGCACACAAGUAAUACUGCCUACAGUUUCAAUUGCGCACAAGUAAAAAGUUAAAGGACGAAUGUACGAUUGCACACAUGUAAUAUUGCCUACAAGGCGAACUGCACACAAGUAAUACUGCCUACAGAUCGAUUGCCUACAGUUUCAAUUGCGCACAAAUAAAAAAUUAAAGGACGAAUGUACGAAUGCACACAUGUAAUAUUGCCUACAAGGCGAACUGCACACAAGUAAUACUGCCUACAGAUCGAUUGCCUACAGUCUCAAUUGCGCACAAGUAAAAAAUUAAAGGACGAAUGUACGAUUGCACACAUGUAAUAUUGCCUACAAGGCGAACUGCACACACGACAAUAUUUCGCACAAGACAAAUUGCACACAAGUAAUACUGCCUACAGAUCGAUUGCCUACAGUCUCAAUUGCGCACAAGUAAAAAGUUAAAGACCGACUGCACGAUUGCACACAUGUAAUAUUGCCUACAAGGCGAACUGCACACAAGUAAUACUGCAUACAGAUCGAUACAAGCCUUAUUGCGUACAAAUAAAAAAUGAAAUAUUAACGUCAGAAGCAAAUAUUUUAUAGCAAAGUACAUUAAAAUAAAAUGUUAUUUUUUGUAUA